rnacentral:rRNA from 1 species
AGUGAACGCUGGCGGUAGGCCUAACACAUGCAAGUCGAACGGAAGCACAGUAAGAGCUUGCUCUUACGGGUAGCGGGUGGCGGACGGGUGAGAAAUACAUAAGCAUCUAAUUUUUCGUGGGGGAUAACGGAGGGCAACUGACGCUACUACCGCAUACGUCCUACGGGUGAAAGCAGGGGAUCUUCGGAGCUUUCGCGAUUGAAUGAGCCGAUGUCGGAUUAGCUAGUUGGCGGGGUAAAGGCACACCAAGGCAACGAUACGUAGCUGGUCUGAGAGGAUGAUCGGCCACACUGGAACUGAGACACGGUCCAGACUCCUACGGGAGGCAGCAGUGGGGAAUAUUGCACAAUGGGCGAAAGCCUGAUGCAGCAAUACCGCGUGGGUGAAGAAGGUCUUCGGGUUGUAAAGCUCUUUUGUUGGGAAAGAAAAUCAGCAGGAUAAUCUGCCGAUGUCCUGACGGUACCCAAAGAAUAAGCACCGGCUAACUUCGUG